AUGAAAAGCUCACCUAUUUUUUGUGGUUGUGAUAGUCUAUCAAGUCUCUCUGUCAAGUUAGUUCAAACUAAGGAGUAUUUGCAUUUCCCAUUGGUUUACUGACUUAUCAGACUCAUAUUGCCAGUAGCGACAACACCAGUUGAAAGGGCUUUCUCAGCCAUGAAUAUAAUAAAGACAGAUUUGAGAAAAAAGAUAGGUGAUGAACGGCUGAAUGAUAUGAUGGUUUGCUAUGUUGAGCGAGAUAUAUUUGCUGGGAUUGAAGAAAAGAAGAUUAUCGAACAUUUUCCUGGCCUAAGGGAUCGUAGAGGCCAUCUUCCAAAUCCUCCACGUAUAACUACAACUUAA
rnacentral:rRNA from 1 species